UACGUAGGGUGCAAGCGUUGUCCGGAAUCAUUGGCGUAAAGCGCGCGUAGGUGGCCAUUUAAGUCCGCUGUGAAAGUCAAAGGCUCAACCUUUGAAAGCCGGUGGAUACUGCAGGGCUAGAGUCCGGAAGAGGCGAGUGGAAUUCCUGGUGUAGCGGUGGAAUGCGCAGAUAUCAGGAGGAACACCAAUAGCGAAGGCAGCUCGCUGGGACGGUACUGACGCUAAGGCGCGAAAGCGUGGGGAGCGAACAGG
rnacentral:rRNA from 1 species